CAAAAAGAUCACAGGGCUCUUUCCUUGACGCGGGGGACACCGAGGAGUGUAUAAACAGGUAGGCUGGGAAUAGGCAACAUUUCCUUGAAACUAAAGCUCCUCUGGGGCACCGGCUCUAACUCGGAGCAGAGUGCUCCAGCCAGCCAUUAAGGAUCGAUGUUUUAAUGUUCAACAACUGGCAACUCUUCGCGUGCUGCAGCGUCCACCCGGCACCAUCGGCUCCCCAGCCUCGCUUUUCCGCGGGCAGCGGGGGCGAGCGGCCCACGCAGGGGGAACCGGUUUUCUCCCAGUCCCGGUGUCCCGACUCCCGAAGUCAGGUCGGCCAGGCCGACCGCGGAGGAGAAACCAGGACCCGGCGACCCCCGUACAUCCCCGGCCAACCGCGCCGCCCGCGACUUAAGCAACUCAGCGACCCAGGCCGUGCGGGCCGCCAGGAAGCCUUUGCACAACCGGGAGAAUUCAGAAGAAGAAUCUGAAUGCCUAUCACUAGAAAAA
ensembl:lncRNA